CAGAGUUCAUGCCCGAAAGGGUAGACCUCCCACCCUUGUGUAUUAUUACUUUGUUGCUUUGGCGAGCUGCCUUUGGGCCUCGGGCUUUCAAGCUUGAGCACGCUCGCCAGAGGAUACCAAAACUCUUUUUAUUAAUGUCGUCUGAGUACUAUAUAAUAGUUA
rnacentral:misc_RNA from 1 species